GAGGAGAAAGGACUCACCCCGGCCACACAAUGACCAGCAGAGCCAGACUCAAACUCAGAGAACCGCCCUUUCCCCUGCUUGGAGAACCUCUGCUUGCGCUCAACCCACCCAGAGAUGGCCUGGCGAGCUCCUGUGCAUCCUUCAAAGCCCAGAAUGGGAAUGCACUCCAGGCUGCCUCCCAGACUCCUUGAGGAUCUGCAAGACAGGAGCUGCCCCUUCUCUGUCUUGGUUGGGACUAUCCCCAGGCUUUGGUGGGGAGGUGGGUGGGUGGGCCGGAUCCAUGGCUCCAUGUGAGGCCCAUGCUCAGGCGUGGACUAGGCUUCUGGGCCAUCUCAGGCAGCCCUUGAUGGGCUCUGCUGAUUGGUGGCCUAAAGCAGGCCACUGAGGGGAACCGGUCCCUUUUGUACAUUCUAUAGGAAGCCCCCAUGAUAGCAUUGCCAGAUAAAGCAUAGACACCCAGUUCAAUUUGAAUUUCAGAUAAGUAGCAAACACGUGAUUCAGGAGUCUACCCCAAACGUGGCAAUAUUUGAGAUUCAAAUCAAACCGGUGUCUUGCAGUUUCAUUUGCUCUGCCUGCGAACCUACCCCAGGGCGGCCCAGCCCGGCUGGGUCCGUCUUUCCCAGGUAAGGGAAGAAUGCAGAAGCCCCCCACUAAAACGUAGUGGGGGGCAUUCCCAGAUGCGUUUCUUGGCUGAGAUGGAAAAUACCCGGCAGCCCAAAGCCAGGCCUUGGGUCAGCUGUGGAUUUUGGUAGACAGGAGGCAGAGGACAGGGUCCCCACCUGCCUGGGGCGAGGCAGGCCACUCCAACUGCAUUAACCUCUCCACGGGUUGGGCCUCUUCCUCCUUUUCUUCUUAUUAUGGUAAAAUGUGUAUAGCAUGACAGUUGCCAUCCGACGACCGUUUCUGCGAAUCCAUUUCAAUGGCAUUAGUCCCCACUCACAAUGUCCCAGCUCAGAACGCUCUCAUGGUCCCAUGCUGAAGCUCUGCCCCCUUCAGCACCAGCUCCCGCUCCGUUCCAGCCCGGGCUCCCCGGGGACCUCCUGUGAGUGGAUCCUGCAGAGUGUGUCCUGUGUCUGGCUCUCCCCGAGCGGCGUCCUCUGGGUCUGUGCAGUUGGAGCACGUGACGGAAGGCCCCUGGCUGGCUGGCUGAUGCUCUGCCGUCUGGAUACAGCACGCGUCUUUACGCGGUGUGACUCCUGCAUCACCCGACACCAGGGCGACUUCCGCCUGGCUGGUGGGAAGAACGCGUCUCUCUUUGCGCCCCAGCUUUCCGUUCUUGGGGGUGAGCGCCCAGAGGCAGAGUCGCUGGGCCAUGGGUGGUGACGCUCACCUUUCCGCAGCCCCUCCGUGCUGUUCUCCUCAGCCCUUCUUGCACCUUUCCGAGGCUCGGUCAUUCUUGCCCUCUGCUUCCCUGCUCCCUCCUUCUCUUCCUCCUCCCUCUUCCUUUAAACACCGCAUCCCUGGAUCCUAUGGAAUACCUGUGGUUCUGGCUCGGGUGGGCUAAGGACCGCCUGGCCCCGAUGUGACUUCCAGGGCAGCCUCCUUCCGGAUCUGGCCUUUUUCCCCAGGCCGUCCAUUCCCAACCCCGGUGCCUGGACAGCCUCCUUCUGACGCCGUCUCUUUACCAUUGCCCCCCAAGGUUUCCUGGCGUCUCUGGUUUCCAUCCUCUACAAAUAUAAACACGUCAGGACAGCCUCUCGGCCCGGCCCGGGCCUCCCUCCUUCUCCUGCAUCUGGCCUCCCUCAUCGGAGGCAGAGGUGGGAGCCAGGCCAGAGCUGGGGGGAGAGGGGUCCUGGCCAACGGUGGCACAGGCUGUCCAGCCCUCCUCCAGAAGGUGCCCUGAGCCGGGGAGGGCUCACCCUUUGCUUGGAAGCUUGUGCCCAUCCUCUGACUUAUUUCCUGGGAGAGGAAAGACAGGCGGCAGCCCGCGGGGGCCUUUGCUGGCUCUGGUUAAACAUUACGCUGGUCCUGACCAUCCACCCGGGCUCGCGCUGUCCAGAUCCAGGGGAGCCUGGGGGAUGGGCUCCCCCAAGUCAAACCCAGAAGGCUAAACAUUCCAGGGCUCCCCAUUCUGGAGGGAAUGCACAGACACGCUUUCAUUUCAAAAGUGUCAGCGGCCAUCCGUCCUGGUGUCUGCCGGGAGACGAAGACAGCUCACCCAAGGAGUCAGGCGUAUUGCUUCUCUGGUCUCAUUUUGCUCUGUUUAAAAGUGACUUAAUUUCAAAACAAGAUGGCCAGUAAGUACAGGCUGAGCGUCCCUGACCCCAGAUCCAAGUGUUCCAAAAGCCGAAACGUUCUGAGCCCAACAUAACACCACAAGUGGAAAAUCCCACACCCGACCUCAUGUCCGGUCACAGCAAAAGGAGCAAAAUUCAGAGACCCUAAAAAUGGAAAAGGACCUUUGGACUAUGUGUACGAGGUGCAUGCAAGGCGUCAACGAACUUCAGUUCCCAUACGCAAUGACUCCCAAAUCCAAAAGAAAAGAAUUCUGAAACCCAAACACUUCUGGCCCCAAGCAACUCGGAUAAGGGAUCCUCAAGCUGCAACAAGGCUGCCGAAUGGAGGCCACAGCCACUGGGCGUUCCUGCCGCGGCUUCGUUAGCUCAGCGUGACCCCAGACCCGCUCCUAGGCCUGACUGACCCUUGGUUUUCCCGUCUCUAAAAUGGGCGCACUGCUGCCCUCCACGUCCAUGACGACUCCAGAGGGAGUCAGCUUCCUGUCCUCAUGGAGCUGAGUGGAGAAGCUGGGGACGGCACCCAGCUCCUACUGUCGACUGCGAUAGAAGUGACCAGGCAGUGGGCUAGGGGAGAACUGGGAGGCAGCUGUCCUUGUCCACAGGGCGCUAAGGAGGGCUUCCUGGAGGAGGGGACACCCGACAAAGGCCAGAAUGAGAAGAGCUGCUAGGCAGAGGCUGCUGGUGAGACGUCAGCAGGCCAGCUGGAGCUUCCGCCAGUAGCCAUGGGGGGCCUGGCGGGUGGGGUGGCCACAGUCCUCCUUCAGAAAGCCCGUUCGAGGUGCAGAGCGGAGAUGGGCUGGAUGGGCCAGGAUGAAGGCUGGGAACCGGGUAAGACCCGUGAGGUCACCAGGGUGAGCCAUCACGGAGGCGUCCACCAGGGCGGUGGCAGGAGGGCGAGCUGGGUGGAACUGAGGGCUCACCAGGGCUCAGCGUUCGAGGGACUUGGCAGCCGACAGGAGGGAGGGAACCAGGACAAGGCCCAGGUCUCCAGCUCUGGUGGCCGACUGGGUGACGUUGAUAGGAUUGCAGAAGAGAGACGGACUUGCCGCAGGGACAGAUCCUCCUUCCGAACACCCGGGGCUUCCUGUCUCUCCGGGACCCGUGGUUUCUCUGUCGCUGUGUCACCCACCCAACUGCCUGCCGCCCUGGGUCCUCUUUAAAGUGGUCCAGGUCUAGGACAGGGCUAGGACCGACACCCGGGCCAUUCUCACCCAAGCAGGGUGAUUCUGGGGGCGGGGGACAGUCACCUCUGAGCCCUUGCCCAGGAGUCACCUGCUUUCCUGGGUAACCCACCAGCAGAGGCCGACUGACCUGGGGACAUGAAGGCAGGGCCAUCUGCGCUGUUGGCAUGUGUUUUCCCCGAGUCCGUGGUUGGAAGCUUGGUCCUCAGGGCGGUGGUGUUGGGAGGCAGCACGGAACCUUCCAGAGGUGGGACUCGGUGGGAGGGCCCUGGGCCAGCUGGGAGUGUGCCCGUGGGACCCAGACUCUCUGGCUUCCUGUCUCGAGAUGUGGCCUCUCGUUCCCACAUGUGCUCUGGCCAUGGUGCCACUGACCUCGGGCCUUGCCAUGAUUUGGUUGUGGGCAGUGACCCCAGAGGUCCGUGGGUUACAGGCGUGGCCCCCGGUUUGGCCUUGUUGGUUUGGACGUGAGGUGCGCCCCAGACGCUCCUGUGUUGAUGCAGGAGGUGGAUGGCGAGAUCCCGGCAGCCGGCCCCUGAGCUGGCCCCUGAGCCGGCCAGCCUGACCUGAGAGAACUGAGCGGGCAGGUCCCAGCUUCCGCGUAGUUGGAGGAGUUAGCCGGCCGGGGCCAUGCCCUGGGGGACUGUAUCUUGUCCUCCUGCUCCCUGCCCUCUGCUGCCUGGCCUCCCUGUCCCCAGCUGCUUUCCUCGGCCACGCCCUUCUGCCACGAUGCUCUGCCUCACCUGGGCCUGGAGCAGUGGAGUCGCCUGACCACGGACUGGACCUCUGAGACCAUGAGCCCAGGUAAACCCUUCCUCCUCUACGUUGCUUUGCCAGGCAUUGUGCUCAUGUGAAAAGUUGGCUCACAGAGCACUUUGGGGAGGUGCCUGAGCCAUUGAGAGGUGGGGCCUAGCGGAAGUUCCUGAGGUCACCAGGGAGGGGCAUGUCCGUGGAGGGAACACCAGGUUCUCAGUCUCUCUUAUGCUUUCUGGUUUAUGAGGUGAGUGGUUUUCUCUGCUAUCAUUCCUGCUUCUCUCCCCAGAGCCCCAAAGUCAUGGGAUAGAGCCUCAAUCUUGCAUGGGAACCUCCAGAACCAUGAAACAAAACAACCCUUUUCUCUUUAUAAAUUAAUUUCCUCAUGUAUUUUGUUAUAGCAAUGAAAAGUGGACUAAUACACCAUCUCAGAUCAA